UGGGGAAUUUUGGACAAUGGGCGAAAGCCUGAUCCAGCAAUGCCGCGUGUGUGAAGAAGGCCUUCGGGUUGUAAGCACUUUUGUCCGGAAAGAAAUCCUUGGCUCUAAUACAGUCGGGGGAUGACGGUACCGGAAGAAUAAGCACCGGCUAACUACGUGCCAGCAGCCGCGGUAAUACGUAGGGUGCAAGCGUUAAUCGGAAUUACUGGGCGUAAAGCGUGCGCAGGCGGUUUGCUAAGACCGAUGUGAAAUCCCCGGGCUCAACCUGGGAACUGCAUUGGUGACUGGCAGGCUAGAGUAUGGCAGAGGGGGGUAGAAUUCCACGUGUAGCAGUGAAAUGCGUAGAGAUGUGGAGGAAUACCGAUGGCGAAGGCAGCCCCCUGGGCCAAUACUGACGCUCAUGCACGAAGGCGUGGGGAGCAAACAGGAUUAGAUACCCUGGUAGUCCACGCCCUAAACGAUGUCAACUAGUUGUUGGGGAUUCAUUUCCUUAGUAACGUACUAACGCGUGAAGUUGACCGCCUGGGGAGUACGGUCGCAAGAUUAAAACUCAAAGGAAUUGACGGGGUCAUAGCUG
rnacentral:rRNA from 1 species